rnacentral:tRNA from 1 species
GCCAUCGUGGUGUAACGAUAGCACACUCGGCUCGUAUUCGGGAGAUCCAAGUUUGAGUCCUGGAGAGAGCA